UAUCUGAUUUGGAUAAGGUCUAGUUUUAGUGGGAGUGUGGGUGGUUAUCAUCUGCUAAUAAUAAUUUGUUUUUUUUUUUUUGAAAUUUCCCCAAAAUUCUCCAAAAGUUGUCGUCCCACUUCUCCCUCUUUUUACAUUCGGUUUUUUGUUAUUUUGUGAUCAACUUUUUCAUCAUUUUUUUUCUUUUUUGAAUUUUCAUUCUUUGCGAUUUCUUGAUACUAUUCCCUUUCUUUUACUUCGUGUUUCAUCCUAUUGCUGCCUAUUAGUGUUGUUUGGCGUAUUAUCUAAAGUAUGUCUGUUCAUUCGGUGUUUUCUUCAGUGGAGAGGUUUGCGAAUCACAUGGCAUCCUUUCAACGAAUUAGGUGAUUUGAAGGCCUACGUCUCUGUUUGGGUUCUGGAAUUGUUGCGGUGUGUGUCAUCGAAAAACAGUUAGGUGUGUAUCGGAAAAUUAAAAAAAUAGUGAACAGCAGAAAGUUGAAAUUUGGUUUGUCGACGCCUCACGAUCGUGUGACAAGUAGUGUGCCAGAUCGUGUGGGCCACACGAGUUGGUCAAUUGGGCCGUGUGAGCCCAUUUUCUAAAAUUUUUUAUUUUGACCCGAUUUGAUUCGUGAUUUGUAAUUAGCUUAUCGGUAAGAUCCGUAACGCUUAAAUAAGACUUGAAAAUAAGGUAUCUGUUAAUAUGCUUUUGUAUGGGAUGCGUUUAAGAUGUGUGAUUUAUACAUGUACAAUUUGUGUUAUGUUAAUUUUGAUGGUACGUUUCCGUGUUAUUAUGUUAGGAUGUAAGCAUGUGAUGUCAGAAUAUGAUUAUUUGUAUAUCUCUAGAUCUAUUAUGUAACUAUGCAUGUGACUUCAUGGCAAAAUUGAUGCGUUUCUAUAAGGUUUGAUACUUCUAUUCUAUAAAGCAUAGACUCUCAUGCCUUUUGUCUUCUAUUAGUGUAUGUCAGCAUGUCUUACAUGCUUAUCAUUCUAUUUCUAUAUAUGCAUGCUAGGACACGUUAUAAGGUUUGGGAUAAUGUUGAAAAGAGGAAGAUUCUGAUAGUUUAAUGAUUUGCAUAUUCUGGUGGUUUAUUCACAUUUCUGUCUAGCAGUUUAUCUGCGAUUAUGAUGGCUCGACCACUUAUCUGCUCGGGCAGCUUUGUUACGAUUUAUUGGCUUGACCACAUAUAUUUGACCUGACAUUUUAACUGCAACUCUGGUGGUAAUGUCCACAAUUAUUUGUUGCCGUGAUUUUGUUGAACAGAGUUCUGGGGAACUUUGGUGUAUAGCGAAACUGGGUAGGAAGUUUUCGAAAAAUUUGCAUUAUGUUUUCUAAAAAAUAUCGCAUAAACAUAAUCAUGUAUUCUUAGUUUUGCUCAAUUGUUCGUGAUGAAAUUCUCUUUGAAACUUUGAACUGUAUAUUGUGAUAUGUGUGUUCUAUGUUGAGUUUCAGGUAAUUAGUAAAGUUUAGCAUCGGACGGCGUGCGAGAGCUCGGAUUGAAUUUUUGAUCAAGUUGAAUCUCAUUGGGUUUGGACUCAUCGCACUGACUCGGUUUUGUCUGGCGGUUGAUGUCGCUUUAGAUGGUUGUGGUUGAUCUUCCUUUGAUGGUUGCGGUUGGUUUCCACAAUGACUCUAACAUUGCUUUCACUUUUAAGGUCUUGCCACAACAUGUUCUCUUUACUGGAGAAGUGCAUGUCGUUGAUGAUAUGGUUAACUAGCCUUGAUCAUCUUAGUCGCCCUCUUACUCUUCUCCUCCAAUCACAAUGCCAAUAGGGUGUAUGGCGACUAGGGAUUGAGUUUUUCUUUCCUCAUUUGUUACAUCUUCUUGAGCUUUCUAAGCUCUUUUUUUUACUAUACUAUCCUUUAUGGAUGGGGAUGUUUCCCAUGAACAAAAAACAUAAUGUCAAAUUUAUUCCCUUUUUUGUCAA